AGAGUUUGAUCCUGGCUCAGGACGAACGCUGGCGGCGCGCCUAACACAUGCAAGUCGAACGAGCGAGAGAGAGCUUGCUUUCUCAAGCGAGUGGCGAACGGGUGAGUAACGCGUGAGGAACCUGCCUCAAAGAGGGGGACAACAGUUGGAAACGACUGCUAAUACCGCAUAAGCCGACAGGUCGGCAUCGACCAGAGGGAAAAGGAGCAAUCCGCUUUGAGAUGGCCUCGCGUCCGAUUAGCUAGUUGGUGAGGUAACGGCCCACCAAGGCAACGAUCGGUAGCCGGACUGAGAGGUUGAACGGCCACAUUGGGACUGAGACACGGCCCAGACUCCUACGGGAGGCAGUAGUGGGGAAUAUUGCACAAUGGGGGAAACCCUGAUGCAGCGACGCCGCGUGGAGGAAGAAGGUCUUCGGAUUGUAAACUCCUGUUGUUGAGGAAGAUAAUGACGGUACUCAACAAGGAAGUGACGGCUAACUACGUGCCAGCAGCCGCGGUAAAACGUAGGUCACAAGCGUUGUCCGGAAUUACUGGGUGUAAAGGGAGCGCAGGCGGGAAGACAAGUUGGAAGUGAAAUCUAUGGGCUCAACCCCUAAACUGCUUUUCAAAACUGUUUUAUCUGAGUAGUGCCCAGGUAGGCGGAAUUCCCGGUGUAGCGGUGGAAUGCGUAGAUAUCGGGAGGAACACCAGUGGCGAAGGCGGCCUACUGGGCACCAACUGACGCUGAGGCUCGAAAGUGUGGGUAGCAAACAGGAUUAGAUACCCUGGUAGUCCACACCGUAA
rnacentral:rRNA from 1 species